rnacentral:rRNA from 1 species
AACGAACGCUGGCGGCAGGCCUAACACAUGCAAGUCGAACGUGAAGCCACCUUCGGGUGGUGGAAAGUGGCAGACGGGUGAGUAACGCGUGGGAACGUGCCUUUCGGUUCGGAAUAACCCAGGGAAACUUGGGCUAAUACCGGAUACGCCCUUCGGGGGAAAGAUUCAUCGCCGAAAGAUCGGCCCGCGUCGGAUUAGCUAGUUGGUAGGGUAAUGGCCUACCAAGGCGACGAUCCGUAGCUGGUCUGAGAGGAUGACCAGCCACGCUGGGACUGAGACACGGCCCAGACUCCUACGGGAGGCAGCAGUGGGGAAUAUUGGACAAUGGGCGAAAGCCUGAUCCAGCCAUGCCGCGUGGGUGAAGAAGGCCCUAGGGUUGUAAAGCCCUUUCGGCGGGGAAGAUAAUGACGGUACCCGCAGAGGAAGCCCCGGCUAACUUCGUGCCAGCAGCCGCCGUAAGAC